rnacentral:rRNA from 1 species
AGCUGGGUUCAGAACGUCGUGAGACAGUUCGGUCCCUAUCCGUCGCGGGCGUUGGAAAUUUGAGAGGAGCUGUCCUUAGUACGAGAGGACCGGGAUGGACUUACCGCUGGUGUACCAGUUGUUCUGCCAAGGGCAUUGCUGGGUAGCUAUGUAGGGAAGGGAUAAACGCUGAAAGCAUCUAAGUGUGAAGCCCACCUCAAGAUGAGAUUUCCCAUUUCUUUAAGAAAGUAAGAUCCCUGAGAGAUGAUCAGGUAGAUAGGUCAGGAGUGGAAGUACAGUGAUGUAUGGAGCGGACUGAUACUAAUCGAUCGAGGACUUAACCAA